UACGUAGGGUGCGAGCGUUGUCCGGAAUUAUUGGGCGUAAAGAGCUCGUAGGCGGCUUGUUGCGUUGGCUGUGAAAACCCGCAGCUCAACUGUGGGCUUGCAGCCGAUACGGGCGGGCUGGAAUUCGGUAGGGGAGACUGGAAUUCCUGGUGUAGCGGUGAAAUGCGCAGAUAUCAGGAGGAACACCGGUGGCGAAGGCGGGUCUCUGGGCCGAUAUCGACGCUGAGGAGCGAAAGCGUGGGGAGCGAACAGG
rnacentral:rRNA from 1 species